GCGGGAAUAACUCAGUGGUAGAGUGUCAGCUUCCCAAGCUGAAGGUCGCGGGUUCGAAUCCCGUUUCCCGCUCCA
rnacentral:tRNA from 91 species